GGAGAAGGGAAGUGUCAGUCCAGUGGAAAGGAACCCCCAGUGCCCAGUGGAGAGGGGCCCCCAGUGCCCAGAGGCCCUCCCCAGUGGCUCACAGCCCUGACCCCUCGAGGCAUCAGGGCGGGGCAUUUCCUGGAGCCGGGGUAGGGCGGACUGAAACCUCAGGCCCUCGCUCGAAGCUGUGCCUUACCCUCCCACCAGCUUCCUGUCCAGCCUGUGCCCGCACCACAUCCGCCUGCCUGGGGGAUGAGGGACCAGCUCCUGGGGCGUCUCAUACUGAGGGCACGAGAUGGAUGGGCUGCCCCCCACCGCUGUCCGCUGCUCAGUGUCCCUGCCAGGCCACCCCAGGGCCACUGAUGAUUUCACGGCGAGGUGUGCCUGAUGGCUAGGGCUGCAGAGGCAUCGCAUGCUUGCAGCUGGAGCUGGCCACGCUCACCACAAAGAAGGGCCUCACCGACCGCAUUUCAGAGGUCUCUAUGUGAUCUUCCUGCAGAGUUUCCCUUCCACAGCUUAGAGCACUCUCCUAGGGUUUCUUCACAACCUUCUCCUCCUUCGGAAAAGUUGCCGCACACUGAAAUUCCUAAUCACAUUUUCCCCAGUGACUCCUAUUGUUAUGGAAAAAGCCCCACCAGGCUGGCUGGGAAUCUUCGAAGACAAAGGUGAUCAGUCUUCCUACAGAAAUGUCACUGGACUGUUCACUCUGGGGGCCAGAACCCCUCACCCUCACUCCCAACUUCCCAGUCUACAUGCUCCUUCCUCUGGUGGAUGGAAAACCCUUUCUAUUGCCCCCCCCCCCCACCUCCACAAUAAUUUUCUCCUCAUGUCUGGCUAAUUAAAUUGAUCACAGGUGAGUGUGGAGCCACUUUCUGCCUUGUCUGUUUGUUUCCCUUUAAAAUAACAUGUUUAUUAAAGGGAUGUGUUAACACAGGCUCCUACUGGCUAGCAAGAGCUGUUUAAGUUUUCAGGAAUUUCGCAGUGGUUGACAUCACAUGAGCAUCUUGAAAUCGCCAUGCCUGAUGGGACAGUUUACAUCACGAAAUCAGCAAAUGCUACAAAAUGGGUCUUUUAGCCCCUAGAUAGCCCGCUGUGAAAUAUUGACCCGCACACCCCUGAGUAUCAUCCACCACGUGACAGCAUAUUCUAAAGCCAGACUCUUCAACACCGGAGCACAUUCCCUGCCUCCACCAAGGACCAACUAGAACCACACUCCAUGGCACUGAGGGAUCAGUCUGGAAGGACCGCACUUCCUCCUCGGCCAGGAAGCAGAGAGAUGAGCUCCAGACCGGG